GACGAACCGUCCAAACGUUAUUCGGAAUUACUGGGCUUAAAGGGUGCGUAGGCUGUGCGGAAAGUUGGGUGUGAAAUACCUCAGCUUAACUGAGGAACUGCGCUCAAAACUACCGUGCUCGAGGGAGACAGAGGUAAGCGGAACUUAGGGUGGAGCGGUGAAAUGCGUUGAUAUCCUAAGGAACACCGGUGGCGAAAGCGGCUUACUGGGUCUCUUCUGACGCUGAGGCACGAAAGCUAGGGUAGCGAACGGGAUUAGAUACCCCGGUAGUCCUAGCCGUAAACGAUGAGCACUUGAUUGAAGGGCCCUCCAUAGCCUUUCAGUCGCAGCGAAAGUGUUAAGUGCUCCGCCUGGGGAGUAUGGUCGCAAGGCUGAA
rnacentral:rRNA from 1 species